UACAGAGGGGGCAAGCGUUGUUCGGAAUUACUGGGCGUAAAGCGCGCGUAGGCGGCUUUGCAAGUCGGGUGUGAAAUCCCCAGGCUUAACCUGGGAACUGCAUUCGAGACUGCAUUGCUAGAGUAUGGGAGAGGGAAGUGGAAUUUCCGGUGUAGCGGUGAAAUUCGUAGAUAUUCGCAAGAACACCAGUGGCGAAGGCGGCUCACUGGCCCGGUACUGACGCUGAGGUGCGAAAGCGUGGGGAGCAAACAGG
rnacentral:rRNA from 1 species